UGAUUUUAGCAGCUCCUAAGAGAGAGGGAAGUCAGUCAACUAAAAAGAAGGAUAUUUAUACCUCAGAUAUUGUGUGCUGUUCAUUUUGAUACAGUGGGUUUUUCAUUUGUAAAGGUUAGUAGAUUGUCCGUGUUGGUAGAGCUAUAGAGGAGCUACUAGAUUUAAAACCUUACCAUUGUAAAACAACACAUUUCAACUGUUAGGGCUUCGUGAAAAGACAAACCAAUCCUGUAAAAUACAUUGUAGAAUGAGAUCCCGUUUUGUAAGAGUGUUUACAUGAUUGUAGGGUUUGGAUUCCUUUGACAUUCUCUCUGUUAGCGUCUACGUUGUUUCCUAGCUACUGGGGUUAGGAUUAGGAACGGGGUUAAAGUUAAGGACUGGGCAAGUGUUAGGGUUAGGAUUAGGUUAGGAUUAUGGUUAAGGUUGGGAUUAGGUUAGGAUUAGGGUUAAGGUUGGGGUUAAGGUUAGGUUAGGAUUGGGGUUAAGGUUGGGGUUAAGGUUAGGUUAGGAUUGGGGUUAAAGUUAAGGACUGGGCAAGUGUUAGGGUUAGGAUUAGGUUAGGAUUAUGGUUAAGGUUGGGAUUAGGUUAGGAUUAGGGUUAAGGUUGGGGUUAAGGUUAGGUUAGGAUUAGGGUUAAGGUUGGGAUUAGGUUAGGUUAGGAUUAGGUUAGGAUUAGGGUUAAGGUUGGGAUUAGGUUAGGAUUAGGGUUAAGGUUGGGGUUAAGGUUAGGAUUAGGAUUGGGGUUAAAGUUAAGGACUGGGCAAGUGUUAGGGUUAGGAUUAGGUUAGGAUUAGGGUUAAAUUUGGGGUUAGGUUAGGUUAGGAUUGGGAUUAAAGUUAAGGACUGGGCAAGUGUUAGGGUUAGGAUUAGGGUUAAGGUUGGGAUUAGGUUAGGAUUAGGGUUAAGGUUGAGGUUAAGGCUGAAGCUCAGGGUUAGGAUUAAGGUUAUGGUUGGGGAGGUGGGGGUAAAAUGGGGUAUUAGAAAGGCACCGAAAGGUUGCAAGAUCGAGU
ensembl:lncRNA